AUUGAACGCUGGCGGCAUGCUUUACACAUGCAAGUCGAACGGCAGCGGGGGCUUCGGCCCGCCGGCGAGUGGCGAACGGGUGAGUAAUGCAUCGGAACGUGCCCAGUCGUGGGGGAUAACACAUCGAAAGAUGUGCUAAUACCGCAUACGUCCUGAGGGAGAAAGCGGGGGAUCUUCGGACCUCGCGCGAUUGGAGCGGCCGAUGUCGGAUUAGCUAGUUGGUGGGGUAAAAGCCCACCAAGGCGACGAUCCGUAGCGGGUCUGAGAGGAUGAUCCGCCACACUGGGACUGAGACACGGCCCAGACUCCUACGGGAGGCGGCAGUGGGGAAUUUUGGACAAUGGGGGCAACCCUGAUCCAGCCAUGCCGCGUGAGUGAUGAAGG
rnacentral:rRNA from 1 species